AUGAACGCUGGCGGCGUGCCUAAUACCUGCAAGUCGAGCGAACAGACGAGGAGCUUGCUCCUCUGACGUUAGCGGCGGACGGGUGAGUAACACGUGGAUAACCUACCUAUAAGACUGGGAUAACUUCGGGAAACCGGACCAAAUACGGGUAAAUAAAUUAAACGCAAUGUUUAAUUGUUAAAAGCGGGUUUUGUUUCACCUUAAAAAUGAUUCCGCGCCGCAUUAGCUAGUUGGUAAGGUAACGGCUUACCAAGGCAACGAUGCGUAGCCGACCUGAGAGGGUGAUCGGCCACACUGGAACUGAGACACGGUCCAGACUCCUACGGGAGGCAGCAGUAGGGAAUCUUCCGCAAUGGGCGAAAGCCUGACGGAGCAACGCCGCGUGAGUGAUGAAGGUCUUCGGAUCGUAAAACUCUGUUAUUAGGGAAGAACAAAUGUGUAAGUAACUAUGCACGUCUUGACGGUACCUAAUCAGAAAGCCACGGCUAACUACGUG
rnacentral:rRNA from 1 species